rnacentral:rRNA from 1 species
AAUGGACGAAAGUCUGAUCCAGCUAUGCCGCGUGCAGGAUGACGGCCUAUGGGUUGUAAACUGCUUUUAUACAGGAAGAAAAAUCCGACGUGUCGGAUCUUGACGGUACUGUAAGAAUAAGGAUCGGCUAACUCCGUGCCAGCAGCCGCGGUAAUACGGAGGAUCCAAGCGUUAUCCGGAAUCAUUGGGUUUAAAGGGUCCGCAGGCGGUUUUUUAAGUCAGAGGUGAAAUCCUACAGCUCAACUGUAGAAUUGCCUUUGAUACUGAAAGACUUGAGUUAUUGUGAAGUGGUUAGAAUGCGUGGUGUAGCGGUGAAAUGCAUAGAUAUCACACAGAAUACCAAUUGCGAAGGCAGAUCACUAACAAUUAACUGUCGCUCAGGGACGAAAGCGUGGGUAGCGAACAGGAUU